UGUCCAGUAGCACCUUAGAGAGUAACUAAGUUUGUUUUGGGUAUAAGCUCUCGUGCGCAUGCACACUUCUUCAGACACACUUCUUCAGGUAUUUUGUGUGCACGCACACGAAAGCUUACACCCAGAACAAACUUAGUUGGUCUCUAAGGUGCUACUGGACA